GAUGAACGCUGGCGGCGUGCUUAACACAUGCAAGUCGAACGGUGAAGCAGGAGCUUGCUCUUGUGGAUCAGUGGCGAACGGGUGAGUAACACGUGAGCAACCUGCCCCUGACUCUGGGAUAAGCGCUGGAAACGGCGUCUAAUACUGGAUAUGUGAUGUGACCGCAUGGUCUGCAUCUGGAAAGAAUUUCGGUUGGGGAUGGGCUCGCGGCCUAUCAGCUUGUUGGUGAGGUAAUGGCUCACCAAGGCGUCGACGGGUAGCCGGCCUGAGAGGGGGACCGGCCACACUGGGACUGAGACACGGCCCAGACUCCUACGGGAGGCAGCAGUGGGGAAUAUUGCACAAUGGGCGGAAGCCUGGUGCAGCAGCGCCGCGUGAGGGAUGACGGCCUUCGGGUUGUAAACCUCUUUUAGCAGGGAAGAAGCGAAAGUGACGGUACCUGCAGAAAAAGCACCGGCUAACUACGUGCCAGCCGCCGCAGUAA
rnacentral:rRNA from 1 species